rnacentral:rRNA from 1 species
GAUAAACGCUGGCGGUGCACAUAAGACAUGCAAGUCGAACGGACUUAACUCAUUCUUUUAGAUUGAGAGCGGUUAGUGGCGGACGGGUGAGUAACGCGUGGAUAACCUGCCUCAUACAGGGGGAUAACAGUUAGAAAUGACUGCUAAUACCGCAUAAGACCACAGCACCGCAUGGUGCAGGGGUAAAAACUCCGGUGGUAUGAGAUGGAUCCGCGUCUGAUUAGCUAGUUGGUAAGGUAAUGGCUUACCAAGGCAACGAUCAGUAGCCGACCUGAGAGGGUGACCGGCCACAUUGGGACUGAGACACGGCCCAA